AGCGAACGCUAGCGGCGGGCCUAACACAUGCAAGUCGAGCGGGGUUUUCGGACCUAGCGGCGGACGGGUGAGUAAUGCGUAGGAAGCUGCCCGAUAGAGGGGGAUACCAGUUGGAAACGACUGUUAAUACCGCAUAAUGUCUACGGACCAAAGUGUGGGACCUUCGGGCCACAUGCUAUCGGAUGCGCCUACGUGGGAUU
rnacentral:rRNA from 1 species